GACAGAGGAUGCAAGCGUUAUCCGGAAUGAUUGGGCGUAAAGCGUCUGUAGGUGGCUUUUUAAGUCUGCCGUCAAAUCCCAGGGCUUAACCCUGGACAGGCGGUGGAAACUACCAAGCUGGAGUACGGUAGGGGCAGAGGGAAUUUCCGGUGGAGCGGUGAAAUGCGUAGAGAUCGGAAAGAACAUCGGUGGCGAAAGCGCUCUACUGGACCGCAACUGACACUCAGGGACGAAAGCUAGGGGAGCGAAUGGG
rnacentral:rRNA from 1 species